rnacentral:rRNA from 1 species
GAUGAACGCUAGCGGGAGGCUUAACACAUGCAAGUCGAGGGGUAGGGUAGCAAUACCUGAGACCGGCGCACGGGUGCGUAACGCGUAUGCAACCUGCCUUAUACAGGGGGAUAGCCCAUGGAAACGUGGAUUAACACCCCAUAGGAUUACUGGGUCGCAUGGUUUAGUGAUUAAAACUGAGGUGGUAUAAGAUGGGCAUGCGUCUGAUUAGGUAGUUGGUGAGGUAAUGGCUCACCAAGCCGACGAUCAGUAGGGGUUCUGAGAGGAUUACCCCCCACACUGGUACUGAGACACGGACCAGACUCCUACGGGAGGCAGCAGUGAGGAAUAUUGGUCAAUGGCCGGAAGGCUGAACCAGCCAUCCCGCGUGCAGGAUGACGGCCCCAUGGGUUGUAAACUGCUUUUGUACCUGAAGAAACUCCCCGACGUGUUGGGGACUGCCGGUAAGGUAUGAAUAAGCAUCGGCUAACUCCGUGCCAGCAGCCGCGGUAA